rnacentral:rRNA from 1 species
UACGGGGGGGGCAAGCGUUGUUCGGAAUUACUGGGCGUAAAGGGUUCGUAGGUGGCCAACUAAGUCAGACGUGAAAUCCCUCAGCUUAACUGGGGAACUGCGUCUGAUACUGGUUGGCUUGAGUGCAGGAGAGGAAUGCGGAAUUCCAGGUGUAGCGGUGAAAUGCGUAGAUAUCUGGAGGAACACCGAUGGCGAAGGCAGAUCUCUGGGCCGUAACUGACGCUGAGGAGCGAAAGCAUGGGGAGCGAACAGG